UUCUAUUACGAUCCUUUCCUCUACUCUACAUUGCAGUGAAUCAAUUUUAUUUCUCUGUUCUGGAUGUUUCGAAGUUACCAAGACUGGAUUUUUUGAGUUCUGUUUCCUAAACUGUGAGUGUGCGGCUGAUAGCAUUUUUGCGUUUUGAUUUGCAGUAAAACUCUAUUGAAGCCGACAAUACUUCGGAUAAAGCUAUUGAGAAACCGUAGAGAGAUUCAGCUGGAGCAGAUGCUCAAAGAAAUUGCCAAGCUUCUCGAAACUGGUCAGGAAGCCACUGCUCAGAUUCAGAGAGGAGAAAAUGAUGGCUGCCCAGGAGAUAAUUCAGCUAUUUUUUGAGCUCAUAAGUGUUCAUCUUCCAAUAAUUGAGGCACAAAGGGCUAGUUGUGGCAUUACUUGGAAAAGAAACUACUGCUGGUGAUUUUCUGGUUGAAGAUGUUCUAGAGGCUGGCCUAGCACAACAAAUAGAGCAACCACUUCAAUCAGGUGAAGACAAGUAUGUGGUAUUCAUCUCUGGUUUGAGACUUUGAGUGUUGGGAGCGGCACCUCCAAUCCUCUACAAUUUCAGCUUUUAAUUGAUCAUAUAACUAGACAUCUAGGAGAUGAGAUCGAAGGU